AGAUGCCUGUUUUUUUUUUUUGCCACCAAAUCCAGUGUUUUGAGUGGACACACGUGUGCACCAUGAUCCCAUCAUGCUGUGAAUCCUGGGACUGUAGGUGCCAGAUUGGAAUCCAAGAAAAGCACCUCCCACCCAACCCCUCCCCUGGGACCUGUGGCCAAAUGAAGCCUUAGAUCCCAAACUGCACAAUGUUCAUGUUUUUAAAACUGGAGAGAAGGGGGAGUGAGGGGACAAAGAGACGGUGGGGAAGUGUGUUCACUGGUCUCCACUCCCAGCCCCCCCAAACCAUUUCUCAUGAGAGUUGCUUUCACUCGUUCUCACGUCCUCUUGUAAUUUUUUGCUUUCAUGGUUUACUUCCACAGUGGAGCAAAAAGGUGAUCGUGCCGUUUCCCUCUUUUCAGAGGAUGGGAGGCAGCACGGGGUCUCUGGAUAGUGAAGGAAGAAAGGAAAGAGCAAGGUGUAGCUGAUUAGCAAGUUAAUUAUUUCAGUACCCCCAAGGGUUCCAGCGUGGUGGAGCCAGCCCACAGCACCAAGCUCUGGAGACUUCAGCGUGUGAAGACGAUACAGUCCUUUUUGGUGCUGUCGUGGAAGCAGAUGCAGAGACCUCCUAGGGAAGUGUGAAGGGAUGGGUUUUAAUCAGGUGUGGGGAAGGAAGGGGACUAAGUUGAACGCAAAGGAAGAUGCGGACUGUUGGAAUUUUUAGAUGAUGCCCCUCCGUUAACACUUCUCAUGUGUUGUAUACUAUAUCCUACAAAUGAUGCAUUUGUGGCAGUAAUCUACGGUGUGUACCUGCUGUUUGCCAAACGCUGCUCGGCCAAAACAGUGUUAAAUAAAAUUGUAAGA